AGAGAGAGAGCUUGCUUUCUCGAGCGAGUGGCGAACGGGUGAGUAACGCGUGAGGAACCUGCCUCAAAGAGGGGGACAACAGUUGGAAACGACUGCUAAUACCGCAUAAGCCCACGACCCGGCAUCGGGUAGAGGGAAAAGGAGCAAUCCGCUUUGAGAUGGCCUCGCGUCCGAUUAGCUAGUUGGUGAGGUAACGGCCCACCAAGGCGACGAUCGGUAGCCGGACUGAGAGGUUGAACGGCCACAUUGGGACUGAGACACGGCCCAGACUCCUACGGGAGGCAGCAGUGGGGAAUAUUGCACAAUGGGGGAAACCCUGAUGCAGCGACGCCGCGUGGAGGAAGAAGGUCUUCGGAUUGUAAACUCCUGUUGUUGAGGAAGAUAAUGACGGUACUCAACAAGGAAGUGACGGCUAACUACGUGCCAGCAGCCGCGGUAAAACGUAGGUCACAAGCGUUGUCCGGAAUUACUGGGUGUAAAGGGAGCGCAGGCGGGAAGACAAGUUGGAAGUGAAAUCCAUGGGCUCAACCCAUGAACUGCUUU
rnacentral:rRNA from 1 species